rnacentral:rRNA from 1 species
AUUGAACGCUGGCGGAAUGCUUUACACAUGCAAGUCGAACGGCAGCACGGGGGCAGCCCUGGUGGCGAGUGGCGAACGGGUGAGUAAUACAUCGGAACGUGCCCGGUCGUGGGGGAUAACGUAGCGAAAGUUACGCUAAUACCGCAUACGAUCUGAGGAUGAAAGCGGGGGAACUUCGGUCAUCGCGCCAUCGGCAUGACCGAGAUCAGGAUCGGUAUUUGGUGGGGUAGAGGCCUACCAAGCGGACAACCUUUAGCUGGUCUGAAAGGCCGACCAGCCACCCGGGACCUGGGCCCCGCCCCAGACCCCUCCGGGAGGCAGCAGUGGGGAAUUUUGGACAAUGGGCGCAAGCCGGAUCCAGCCAUCCCGCGUGCAGGACGAAGGCUUUCGGGUUGUAAACUGCUUUUGUACGGAACGAAAAGGCUCUGGCUAAUACCUGGGGCUCAUGACGGUACCGUAAGAAUAAGCACCGGCUAACUACGUG